UACAGAGGGUGCGAGCGUUGUUCGGAAUUACUGGGCGUAAAGCGCGCGCAGGCGGCCCUUUAAGUCCGUCGGUCAAAUGCCGGGGCUCAACCCCGAGCGUGCCGAGGAUACUGGAGGGCUGGAGACACGUAGAGGCAAGCGGAAUUCCGGGUGUAGCGGUGGAAUGCGUAGAGAUCCGGAAGAACACCGGAGGCGAAGGCGGCUGCUGGGCGUGAUCUGACGCUGAGGCGCGAAAGCGUGGGGAGCGAACAGG
rnacentral:rRNA from 1 species